UUCGACGAGUCGAGUUGUUUGGGAAUGCAGCUCAAAAUGGGUGGUAAAUUUCAUCUAAAGCUAAAUAUGGGCCAGAGACCGAUAGCGCACAAGUAGAGUGAUCGAAAGAUGAAAAGCACUUUGGAAAGAGAGUUAAACAGUACGUGAAAUUGUUGAAAGGGAAGCGCUUGCAACCAGACUUGGGCGCUGCCGAUCACCCCGAGUUCUCUCGGGUGCACUCGACAGCGCACAGGCCAGCAUCGGUUCGGGUGGCUGGAUAAAGGCCGUAGGAAUGUAGCUCUCUUCGGGGAGUGUUAUAGCCCACGGUGCCAUGCAGCCCAGCCGGACCGAGGACCGCGCCUUCGGGCUAGGAUGCUGGCGUAAUGGUUGUAAGCGACCCGUCUUGAAACACGGACCAAGGAGUCUAACAUCUAUGCGAGUGUUUGGGCGUUAAACCCAUACGCGGAAUGAAAGUGAACGUAGGUGAGAACCCCUUUGGGGCGCAUCAUCGACCGAUCCUGAUGUCUUCGGAUGGAUUUGAGUAAGAGCAUAGC
rnacentral:rRNA from 1 species